rfam:Gossypium hirsutum cultivar TM-1 chromosome 15, whole genome shotgun sequence
CCUGGGGGAGUGUUUUGUCCACGUCAGACAAAGCGCUUCCUUGAGGGUGUGCUUUGCUGACGUGGACAAAACGCUCCCUUAGGG